UACGUAGGGUGCAAGCGUUAUCCGGAAUUAUUGGGCGUAAAGAGCUCGUAGGCGGCUCGUUGCGUCGGCUGUGAAAACCCGCAGCUCAACUGUGGGCUUGCAGCUGAUACGGGCGGGCUGGAGUUCGGUAGGGGAGACUGGAAUUCCUGGUGUAGCGGUGAAAUGCGCAGAUAUCAGGAGGAACACCGGUGGCGAAGGCGGGUCUCUGGGCCGAUACUGACGCUGAGGAGCGAAAGCGUGGGGAGCGAACAGG
rnacentral:rRNA from 1 species